AAAAUCUCAAAGAUUUUUAAAGAUUGAAAAUCUCAAAGAUUUUCAGUAUAUUUUAAAAUCUGUUGAUUUUAAAAACGCACCUGCGGAUGCUUCUCUAGUCUGUAGCUCUGUA
rnacentral:sRNA from 24 species